AUUGAACGCUGGCGGCAGGCCUAACACAUGCAAGUCGAACGGUAACAGGAAGAAGCUUGCUUCUUUGCUGACGAGUGGCGGACGGGUGAGUAAUGUCUGGGAAACUGCCUGAUGGAGGGGGAUAACUACUGGAAACGGUAGCUAAUACCGCAUAACGUCGCAAAACCAAAGAGGGGGACCUUCGGGCCUCUUGCCAUCGGAUGUGCCCAGAUGGGAUUAGCUAGUAGGUGGGGUAACGGCUCACCUAGGCGACGAUCCCUAGCUGGUCUGAGAGGAUGACCAGCCACACUGGAACUGAGACACGGUCCAGACUCCUACGGGAGGCAGCAGUGGGGAAUAUUGCACAAUGGGCGCAAGCCUGAUGCAGCCAUGCCGCGUGUGUGAAGAAGGCCUUCGGGUUGUAAAGUACUUUCAGCGGGGAGGAAGGGAGUAAAGUUAAUACCUUGGCUCAUUGACGUUACCCGCAGAAGAAGCACCGGCUAACUCCGUG
rnacentral:rRNA from 1 species